GCCCUGGUGGCACAAUGGUUAAGCAGUUGGCUGCUAACCAAAAGGCUGGUGGUUGAAUCCACCCAGGGGCU
rnacentral:tRNA from 1 species